rnacentral:hammerhead_ribozyme from 1 species
AUCCAGAUGACGAGUCCCAAAUAGGACGAUACGCGUGUCAAACUGGAU